rnacentral:rRNA from 1 species
GCAAGACCGUGAGGUGGAGCAAAACUCAAAAACUUGUCUCAGUUCGGAUUGUAGGCUGAAACUCGCCUACAUGAAGCUGGAGUUGCUAGUAAUCGCGAAUCAGCAUGUCGCGGUGAAUACGUUCCCGGGCCUUGUACACACCGCCCGUCACACCAUGAGAGUUGGCAAUACCCAACGUACGUGAUCUAACCCGCAAGGGAGGAAGCGUCCUAAGGUAGGGUCAGCGAUUGGGGUGAAGUCGUAACAAGGUAAC